rnacentral:rRNA from 1 species
GAUGAACGCUGGCGGCGUGCCUAAUACAUGCAAGUCGAGCGAACAGACGAGGAGCUUGCUCCUCUGACGUUAGCGGCGGACGGGUGAGUAACACGUGGAUAACCUACCUAUAAGACUGGGAUAACUUCGGGAAACCGGAGCUAAUACCGGAUAAUAUAUUGAACCGCAUGGUUCAAUAGUGAAAGGCGGUUUUGCUGUCACUGAUAGAUGGAUCCGCGCCGCAUUAGCUAGUUGGUAAGGUAACGGCUUACCAAGGCAACGAUGCGUAGCCGACCUGAGAGGGUGAUCGGCCACACUGGAACUGAGACACGGUCCAGACUCCUACGGGAGGCAGCAGUAGGGAAUCUUCCGCAAUGGGCGAAAGCCUGACGGAGCAACGCCGCGUGAGUGAUGAAGGUCUUCGGCUCGUAAAACUCUGUUAUUAGGGAAGAACAAAUGUGUAAGUAACUAUGCACGUCUUGACGGUACCUAAUCAGAAAGCCACGGCUAACUACGUG